rnacentral:piRNA from 1 species
UGGGCAAGAGUCAUAGGUGCUCUGUUUCC